CCCCCACUUUUGAUUUUUGAAGAAAUCAAAAGUGGGGG
rnacentral:autocatalytically_spliced_intron from 2 species